AGUCUGGAGCCCACUUCCCUCUGGAGCUUGCGGGGUCCUCCCCGGGCUUGACCGUCGCGUCCUGGACAGGGUUAAUACAGAGGCCACCCGGUUCAUCUCAGACCUGCCUUUGUCCACCAGGGGUUUAAGUAAAAACUACCACAAGCAGCAAGACUUCCACCGUCCUCUGGGUCCCAACCACAAUCCUGAGGCCAAUGGUGACGGCAACUGUAGAGACAGAAGGUAGCAGUUCCUUUCGGACACUUGUCCACCAACCCAAGAAUGGAGCAAAAAUCAAAACCUCCCUCCAUACAUCUUCUUAACGGACUCUACUUCCUCUCCAUUCCCACUGGCUCUGCCCCAAGUUAAGCCUCUGCAGAGCUCCUGGCUCCUGCACCCUAACUCCUGCCCUUCCACCCUCGACACACAGUACCACAUCCGCCCGCCUCUAAUUCAGAGCCAACAGUGUUAAACUGUUAAGAGUCGGCCACGGCACAGGGACACCCCAAGGCUCUUUGCUCUCAGGUCUCCACCUACACUCAUCUCAGCAGCCUCGUCCCCUCUCAGUCCUUGCUCAGGGCUUCCAUGGAACAGGAAUGGCCCAGCCUUUAACACCCUGAGUUCCACACCUCCUGCCUUUUGCUUUGCAGCGCUCUCCGCCAGGAGCGCCCUCCUUACACCCCCAUCUUAAACCUCCUGGGAUCUUCUCCAUCCUUUCUGGGAGCCCCACCCAGCACUGCUCCCUUCAGAAAGGCACUCUUUGUUCCCCAUAAAGACCUGAUAUCGACCAGGCGCGGUGGCUCACACCUGUAAUCCCAGCACUUUGGCAGGCCGAGGUGGGCAGAUCACUUGAGGUCAGGAGUUCGUGACCAGCCUGGCCAACAUGGUGAAACCGCAUCUCUAAUACAAAAAAUUUAGCCGGGCGUGGUGGUGGGCGCCUGUAAUCCCAGCUACUCAUGAGUCUGAGACAGGAGAAUCGCUUGAACCCAGGAGGUGGAGGCUUCAGUGAGCUGAGAUUGCCCGCUGCUGCACUCCAGCCUGGGUGACAGAGCGAGACUCAGUCUCAAAGAAAAUAAAAAUAAUUUUUAAAAGACCUGAUCUCACCGGCUCUGACUCAGGACGUACUGCUGCCUGCCUCUGGCUGGAUAUCUCUGUAGUUGUCUAAACACCCCCACCCCAG
rnacentral:lncRNA from 1 species